rnacentral:rRNA from 1 species
UACGUAGGUGGCAAGCGUUAUCCGGAUUUAUUGGGCGUAAAGGGAACGCAGGCGGUCUUUUAAGUCUGAUGUGAAAGCCUUCGGCUUAACCGGAGUAGUGCAUUGGAAACUGGGAGACUUGAGUGCAGAAGAGGAGAGUGGAACUCCAUGUGUAGCGGUGAAAUGCGUAGAUAUAUGGAAGAACACCAGUGGCGAAAGCGGCUCUCCGGUCUGUAACUGACGCUGAGGUUCGAAAGCGUGGGUAGCAAACAGG